rnacentral:tRNA from 1 species
GCCUGGGUGGCUCAGUCAGUUGAGCGUCAGACUUUGACUCAGGUCAUGAUCUCGUGGUUCGUGGGUUCAAGCCCCAUGUCAGGCU